rnacentral:rRNA from 1 species
UACGGGGGGUGCGAGCGUUAAUCGGAAUAACUGGGCGUAAAGGGCACGCAGGCGGGCUUUUAAGUGAGGUGUGAAAUCCUCGGGCUUAACCUGAGAAUUGCAUUGGAUACUGGGAGUCUAGAGUACUUUAGGGAGGGGUAGAAUUCCACGUGUAGCGGUGAAAUGCGUAGAGAUGUGGAGGAAUUCCGAAGGCGAAGGCGGUGCCUUGGGAAUGUACUGACGCUCAUGUGCGAAAGCGUGGGGAGCAAACAGG